UACGUAGGGGGCAAGCGUUGUCCGGAUUUAUUGGGCGUAAAGAGCGUGUAGGCGGCCAGAUAGGUCUGUUGUGAAAACUCGAGGCUCAACCUCGAGACGCCGAUGGAAACCAUUUGGCUAGAGUCCGGAAGAGGAGAGUGGAAUUCCUGGUGUAGCGGUGAAAUGCGCAGAUAUCAGGAAGAACGCCCGUGGCUAAGGCGGCUCUCUAGUACGGUACUGACGCUGAGACGCGAAAGCGUGGGGAGCGAACAGG
rnacentral:rRNA from 1 species